GUCCAGGGAUGGGAAUCGAACCCACACUGUUCCGCUUACCGGGCAGAUGCCAUGUCCACUAGGCUACCCUGGA